rnacentral:rRNA from 1 species
GUGCCAGCAGCCGCGGUAAUACCGGCAGCCCGAAUGAUGGUCGAUCUUAUUGGGCCUAAAGCGUCCGUAGCUGGCUGCGCAAGUCCGUCGGGAUAUCCACCCGCCCAACGGGUGGGCGUCCGGUGGAAACUGCGUGGCUUGGGACCGGGAGGCCUGAGGGGUACGAUCGGGGUAGGAGUGAAAUCCUGUAAUCCUGGACGGACCGCCGGUGGCGAAAGCGCCUCGGGAAGACGGACCCGACAGUGAGGGACGAAAGCGGGGAUCUCGAACCGGAUUAGAUACCCUGUAGUCC